UGUAGAGAGGACGAAUGGUAAGUCACCGGGCUCAUGCCCCGAAGAAGUGGGUUCGAUUCCCGCCUCUACAG
rnacentral:tRNA from 15 species